UAUACAUGCAGUCGAACGAACUUCCGUUAAUUGAUUAUGACGUGCUUGCACUGAAUGAGAUUUUAACACGAAGUGAGUGGCGGACGGGUGAGUAACACGUGGGUAACCUGCCCAGAAGCAGGGGAUAACACCUGGAAACAGAUGCUAAUACCGUAUAACAGAGAAAACCGCCUGGUUUUCUUUUAAAAGAUGGCUCUGCUAUCACUUCUGGAUGGACCCGCGGCGCAUUAGCUAGUUGGUGAGGUAACGGCUCACCAAGGCGAUGAUGCGUAGCCGACCUGAGAGGGUAAUCGGCCACAUUGGGACUGAGACACGGCCCAGACUCCUACGGGAGGCAGCAGUAGGGAAUCUUCCACAAUGGACGCAAGUCUGAUGGAGCAACGCCGCGUGAGUGAAGAAGGGUUUCGGCUCGUAAAGCUCUGUUGUUAAAGAAGAACGUGGGUGAGAGUAACUGUUCACCCAGUGACGGUAUUUAACCAGAAAGCCACGGCUAACUACGUGCCAGCAGCCGCGGUAAUACGUAGGUGGCAAGCGUUAUCCGGAUUUAUUGGGCGUAAAGCGAGCGCAGGCGGUCUUUUAAGUCUAAUGUGAAAGCCUUUCGGCUCAACCGAAGAAGUGCAUUGGAAACUGGGAGACUUGAGUGCAGAAGAGGACAGUGGAACUCCAUGUGUAGCGGUGAAAUGCGUAGAUAUAUGGAAGAACACCAGUGGCGAAGGCGGCUGUCUGGUCUGUAACUGACGCUGAGGCUCGAAAGCAUGGGUAGCGAACAGGAUUAGAUACCCUGGUAGUCCAUGCCGUAAACGAUGAUUACUAAGUGUGGAGGGUUUCCGCCCUUCAGUGCUGCAGCUAACGCAUUAAGUAAUCCGCCUGGGGAGUACGACCGCAAGGU
rnacentral:rRNA from 1 species